CGCCGCCGCCACACUCCCGCAUCCACCUCGUGAUCCUCCCAGAUCCGGUCAAACCAACCACCUGCAACCAUCUCCUUCUCCUCGAAUUCAUCCAUCGGCCAAUCACCACCGAUCCAUCCAAUCACCAAUCAGCUCGGCCGCCUCCCCUGUUCGGUCCUCGCCGCAUACGCAGCUCCCCUCGCACCAGCGUAGCAGCGCCAAAGCCGCUGUCCUCGCUCAGGAGCUCACCCCCAAAGCUCCUCCUGCCUCGUCCUCUAGCUCCUGGACGCAUCCGGCCGCCCGCGGCCGUCGUCGUCCACGCCUACAGGAGCCAGCAGCUGCAUCCCCGAGCGGGGAACGCUCAAUCUGCUCGUGCUAGAGCACCUCCGCGGAGCCGAGGAGCUCCACGCCUUGCCUCCGCCACCUUCAUCGUUCUGCGCCGCCGUCACCCCGUAUCCCCGACCACCUCGCCGGAGCUCCUCUCCAGCACGCCAGCCACCCCGACCAUGCCCGGCCUCCCCGCUCGCCCUCCUCUCGUGUGGAUCGAGCAGCAGUUCUUCCCGAGCGGAGCGCUCGCUUCAGCCGUGUCCGCGAGCCGCAGGUCACCGGAGCAGAUCCAAGCAGCGUACCCCUGGCGCCCUACUCCAGCCCUCGUCCUCGCCGGACUCCGUCGCACCCAGGACAGCACCUCCGGCCGUCCCUUUUUCUUCUCCGUCUCUGCAUCCUAUCUCUUUUCCCGUAUCUCUGAAACUACUCUUUGCUUCUCUGAACAACAGCGCCAUGGAUGUCGCCCCAAGCUUCGUCGCGGGUCGCCUCCGUCUCGCCUCCGGUCAGAUCCGGCGCCCCCGUGGCCGUAUCCCGCUCGUCCCCGUCUGUUCCUGGCCGCCGUUUCCCUGCCCCGCCGCUGCAAGUCCUGCGUCUUGCCUCCUCUGACCGCUGCCGCUGCGUCGAGCGAGGCCAGUCAACCGCGCGCUGGUUGACCGCAUCGUCAACCUGCCCGAGCGGGUCAACCUCCAGCCGCGCGUGAAGCCCAGCUCCCAGCCGGCCUGCUGCUGGCAAGGAGGCCUGCCUUGGCCUCUCCCUCUCCGCAAACUGGGCCUGGCCAAUGGGUGAGGCACACCCCAGCACCCCUGUUACUAUCCUGCUAUUGGGCCAGAUCUUAGAUGCGGCCCGAAUCUUGUUUUUUUCCCGUGGAACGAAUUUAGCUAUUAUUCCUGAGACGGUUGUUUUGCAGAAAAGUCCCUAGAGUUCAUGCAUUUAAUAUCUAAUUAACCGUGCAUCGGAUUAAAAUAAGUUAUAUAUGAAACAUGACUAGAAUUUCAUCUAGUUUCAUAUUAUGCCAUUUUCAUCCAUGUUUAACAUGUUUAAAAUGUUGUUUGAUUAAAUUUUGCUUUAUGUCAUGUUAAAAUGCUUUAAUUCAUAACUAAAUAAUCGUAGCUCGGUUAUUAAUAAACUUUAUAUGUAAAUGGGGUGGAGAAAUGCCUAGUUUAACAUGGUGGUUUUAUUUUGCAUGUUUAAUAACUCUAAAAUUGUGUUUAGGGCAGAACAGUACCAAAUCUAAUUUAUGCACAUGAGGAGUUUCCGGAUUUGUUGUUGCUUCCGGCCUCAUUUAACCUUGACUAGAUAGGUAGUUUUACUUUGCUUCACCCUCUUGCCAUGUUUAACAACAUUUAAUAUUGUUGGGUACAUAAACGAGAUCGAACUAAAUAACUUGGCGUGGUGUUUCGUCAAUAUGCAACUCGUUGCAUAUUGAGCUCCACUUAAUUUGUAGGGUUGCUUGUGCACUUUUGCCAUGCCAUGCUUUAUUAAACCGGACAUGCAUCAUACUUGGUUGUGCAUCAUGCCAUGUUGAUGUGAUGGUUGUUUACUAUGUUGUUUGCUUCUUUCCGGUGUUGCUCCUUCGGGUUGGUUCCGAUAACAUCGUGUUUGUGAGGAUCCGUUGGCUACGUCCGUUUGUCUUCUUCAUGGACUCGUUCUUCUUCCUUGCGGAUUUCAG
rnacentral:rRNA from 1 species